rnacentral:rRNA from 1 species
UGCCAGCCGCCGCGGUAAUACGGAGGGUGCAAGCGUUGUCCGGAUUUAUUGGGUUUAAAGGGUGCGUAGGCGGAUCUUUAAGUCAGUGGUGAAAGCCUGCAGCUUAACUGUAGAACUGCCAUUGAUACUGGAGAUCUUGAGUAUACUAGAGGUAGGCGGAAUUUAUGGUGUAGCGGUGAAAUGCAUAGAUACCAUAAAGAACACCGAUAGCGUAGGCAGCUUACUGGAGUAUAACUGACGCUGAUGCACGAAAGCAUGGGUAGCGAACAGGAUUAGAUA